rnacentral:rRNA from 1 species
UACGAGAGGUCCAAACGUUAUUCGGAAUCACUGGGCGUAAAGGGUGCGUAGGCGGGUCUUUAAGUCAGGGGUGAAAUCCUGGAGCUCAACUCCAGAACUGCCUUUGAUACUGAAGAUCUUGAGUUCGGGAGAGGUGAGUGGAACUGCGAGUGUAGAGGUGAAAUUCGUAGAUAUUCGCAAGAACACCAGUGGCGAAGGCGGCUCACUGGCCCGAUACUGACGCUGAGGCACGAAAGCGUGGGGAGCAAACAGG